rnacentral:rRNA from 1 species
CUAAUAAGGGCGUAUGGUGGAUGCCUUGGCUUUGAAAGGCGAUGAAGGACGCGGCGUGGCGGCGAUACGCUCCGGGGAGGUGCCAAGCAACCUUCGAUCCGGAGAUGUCCGAAUGAGGAAACUCACUGGAGCGAAAUCUCCAGUACCCCGCAGUAAUGCGGGGAGCAGACCUCGGGAAGUGAAACAUCUCAGUACCGAGAGGAAAAGAGACCAAUAGGUAUUUCGUCAGUAGCGGCGAGCGAACGCGAAUGUGAGCCCAAACUGCAAAGUUUCCCAAACUCCUUGGUAGUUCGAGGGGUUCGGGAAAUUUUCAGGGUUAUAAGGCAUUGAUAGGCCUGAGAGAAAUCGAAUGGCCAAGAAGUUACAAAUUGCUGCGGUAGCCGAACGCGCUGGGAAGCGCGGCCCAAGAGGGUGAAGGCCCCGUAGGCGAAACUGCAGCAACUUCUGCAAUGUCCUUGAGUAGCUCAAGACACGAAUGGCUUGAGUGAAUUUGCCGGAACUAACCGGUAAGGCUACAUACUUUCAAAGACCGAUAGUGAACUAGUACCGUGAGGGAAAGGUGAAAAGAACCCCGGAAGGGGAGUGAAAUAGAUCUGAAACCAUAUGUCUACAAAGAGUCGAAGAGGCCGAGAGUAAUCGAAGCCUCGACGGCGUGCCUAUUGAAGAAUGAGCCUGCGAGUUACCGUAUGCCGCAUAGACUUAAGCCCGCUAGGGCGGAGGUGUAGCGAAAGCGAGCGUGAAUAGCGCGAAAAUAAGUGGCAUGCAGUAGACCCGAAGCAAGGUGAGCUACCCAUGAGCAGGGUGAACUCCGGCGAAAGCCGGAGGGAGGCCCGAACCGUUGAGCCGUUCAAAACUCUCGGAUGACUUGUGGGUUGGAGUGAAAAGCUAAUCGAACCUUGUAAUAGCUGGUUCUCUCUGAAACAGCUUUUGCAAAACUCUCGGAUGACUUGUGGGUUGGAGUGAAAAGCUAAUCGAACCUUGUAAUAGCUGGUUCUCUCUGAAACAGCUUUUGGGCUGGCGUCGCAUUGAUUGGCAGACGGGGGUAGAGCACUGGAAGGAUGAGACAGGGCGAAAGCUCGCUCAUCCUAUCAAACUCCGAAUACCGUUUGCGUUAUGCGGCAGUUAGUACGUGGGGGCUAAGCUCCACCGUACAAAAGGAGAAGAGUCCUAGAUCUCAAGUUAAGGUCCCAAAAUCUACGUUAAGUGCAUCACAAGGAGGUGAAGUCUCGAAGACAAUGAGGAUGUUGGCUUAGAAGCAGCCAUCAUUGAAAGAAAGCGUAACAGCUCACUCAUCGAGAGAUCUCGCGCCGAAGAUAAUCGGGGCUAAAACGUAGUACCGAAACUGAGGAUUCGUCCUGAGAGCAAUCAAAGGACGAGUGGUAAGAGAGCGUUCGCAUCCGCGAUGAAGCUGAAGGCGUGAGCCGCAGUGGAGCGUUGCGAAGUGAGAAUGCAGGCACAAGUAACCGCAAUGCGGGUGAGAUCCCCGCACGCCGAAAGCACAAGGUUUCCUACUCAACGGUGAUCAGAGUAGGGUUAGUCGGUCCUAAGCCGAUGGCGAAAGCCGCAGGUAAUGGACAGUGGGUUAAUAUUCCCACACCGGCGACUCAGUGAUGGAGGGACGGAGCACAUAAACAGUGGCGCCUUAUUGGAUUGGCGUCCGUAGCCGAAGACUUGCAAGGCAGGAAAAUCCGCUUUGCGCUGUCGAAGCAUCGGGGCACUUUCAGGUUCGCCUGAGAGGACCACUGCGAAGAGGCUUCCAAGAAAAACUUCUAAACUAUAUGGGUCGUACGACCGUACCGCAAACCGACACAGGUGUGCAGCUCGAGUAGAGCAAGGCGAACGAGUGAGAGUACUCCAAGGAACUCGGCAAAAAAUCGGCCGUACCUUCGGAAUAAGGCCUGCCGCGCGCGAGCGCGGCCGCAGCGAAAGUAUCCCUGGCGACUGUUUACCAAAAACACAGCUUCCUGCGAACCCGUAAGGGGAUGUAUAGGAGGUGACACUUGACCAAUGCCAGAAGGUCAAAUAUGGCCCGUCCUUUGAUCGCAAGAUUGGAGGGCCGAGCUAUAUAAGCCCUGGUGAAUGUCGGCGAUAACUAUAAUCGUCCUAAGGGCGAAAUUCCUUGUCUGGUAAGUUCAGACGCGCACGAAUAGUGUAACGACUGGGGAACUGUCUCGGAGUACCGCUCGGUGAAAAUACAAUACCGGUGAAGAUGCCGGUUACCUGCAGUUAGACGAAAAGACCCCAGAAGCUUUACUGUAGCUUGAUAUUGUGCAUGCGGCUUUGUUGCGUAGCAUAGGUGGGAGAGGUUGAGGCGGUGCUUUCGGGCGCCGCGGACUCGUCAGUGAAAUACCACUCUGUAAAAUUGUAUGUACUAACCGGACGCGCAAAACGCGUUCGAGACAUUAUCUGGUGGGCAGUUUUAGUGGGGCGCUAUCCUCCUAAAAAGUAACGGAGGAGUUCAUUAAGGUUCCCUAGGCGCGAAUGGAAACCGUGCCGAUAGCGUAAUGGCAAAAGGGAGCUUGACUGCAAGGCGUAAAUGCCGAGCAGGUGCGAAAGCAGGACAUAGUGAACCGACCAUCCGCAUUAGAGGCGGUGGAAGAUUAUCUGACAAAAGCUACUCUGGGGAUAACAGGCUAGUUCCGCCUAAGCGUCCAUAGCGACGGCGGAGUUCGGCACCUCGAUGUCGGCUCCCAAGGGUAUGGCUGUUCGCCAUUUAAAAAGAUACGCGAGCUGGGUUCAGACCGUUGCGUGAGACAGGUUGGUCUCCUAUCUACUGCAGGCGGCGAUUCUUGAGAAGAGUUCUUCCUAGUACGAGAGGACCGGAAGGAACUGACCGCUGGUCUACCAGCUCUCCUGCCAAGGGGACCGCUGGGUAGCUAUGUCGGGAACGGAUAAGCGCUGAAAGCAUCUAAGCGCGAAGCCAACUUCAAGAUGAGGAAUCAUUAAGAUCCGUGGGAGAUGACCACGUUGAUAGGUUCUAGGUGUACGUGCCGCAAGGCAUUGAGCCGAGGAAUACUAAUCGAUCGA